rnacentral:rRNA from 1 species
UACGGGGGGGGCAAGCGUUGUUCGGAAUUACUGGGCGUAAAGGGCUCGUAGGCGGCCAACUAAGUCGGACGUGAAAUCCCCAGGCUCAACCUGGGAACUGCGUCCGAUACUGGAUGGCUUGAAUCCGGGAGAGGGAUGCAGAAUUCCAGGUGUAGCGGUGAAAUGCGUAGAUAUGUGGAGGAACACCAGUGGCGAAGGCGACUCUCUGGGCUGUAACUGACGCUGAGGCGCGAAAGCGUGGGGAGCAAACAGG